UGGGGAAUAUUGCACAAUGGGCGCAAGCCUGAUGCAGCCAUGCCGCGUGUAUGAAGAAGGCCUUCGGGUUGUAAAGUACUUUCAGCGGGGAGGAAGGGAGUAAAGUUAAUACCUUUGCUCAUUGACGUUACCCGCAGAAGAAGCACCGGCUAACUCCGUGCCAGCAGCCGCGGUAAUACGGAGGGUGCAAGCGUUAAUCGGAAUUACUGGGCGUAAAGCGCACGCAGGCGGUUGAUUGAGUCAGAUGUGAAAUCCCCGGGCUUAACCCGGGAAUUGCAUCUGAUACUGGUCAGCUAGAGUCUUGUAGAGGGGGGUAGAAUUCCAUGUGUAGCGGUGAAAUGCGUAGAGAUGUGGAGGAAUACCGGUGGCGAAGGCGGCCCCCUGGACAAAGACUGACGCUCAGGUGCGAAAGCGUGGGGGGCAAACAGG
rnacentral:rRNA from 1 species